ACUCAAAGGAAUAGACGGGGGCCCGCACAAGCAGCGGAGCGUGUGGUUUAAUUCGAGGCUACACGAAGAACCUUACCUGGGUUUGACAUCACGGUGGUAGCGAACGGAAACGGGAGCGACCUUCGGGAGCCGUGACCGGUGCUGCAUGGCUGUCGUCAGCUCGUGUCGUGAGAUGUACGGUUAAGUCCGCAAACGAGCGCAACCCUCGGCGUCAGUUACAGGUGUCUGACGCGACUGCCCUCGGCAAGGGGGAGGAAGGUGGGGAUGACGUCAAGUCAGCAUGGCCUUGAUAUCCAGGGCGACACACACGCUACAAUGGGCGGUACAAUGGGGAGCGAAGGCGCGAGCCGGAGCCAAUCCCGAAAGCCGUUCGUAGUUCGGAUUGCAGGCUGCAACUCGCCUGCAUGAAGGUGGAGUUGCUAGUAACCGUGGGUCAGCAAACUACGGUGAAUACGUUCCCGGGCCUUGUACACACCGCCCGU
rnacentral:rRNA from 1 species